rnacentral:tRNA from 1 species
ACUUAAAUAACUUAUAUUUAGAGUAUAAUAUUGAAGAUAUUAAUGAGAUUUAUUAAAUCUUUAAGUA